GUGACAGAAGAGAGUGAGCACACAUGGUGUUUUCUUGCACGAUUAUGUUUCCUGCUUGAAGCUAUAUGUGCUUACUCUCUAUCUGUCAC
rnacentral:pre_miRNA from 2 species